CAAUUAUCGAAGAAAAAAAAAAAAAAAGCUUUGUGGGUUUUGGUUUUUACGCUUCCAUUGAUGUUAUUUCUCAUCAUGGGUUUUCAAAUUUCUGAUGAAUUGUUGGGUACUUUUGUCCCAAUUCUUGUCUACUGGAUUUAUUCCGGUUUGUAUGUUGGUUUAGGAUAUUUUGAGAAUUAUAGAUUGCACUCUAAGAUUAUAGAUUGCACACCAAGCAGGAUGAGGAUGAGAAAAAUUUGGUCUCCAAAGCCACUGUUGUGAAAGGCGUUCUUCUUCAACAAUCUAUACAAGCUGUUGUUGCUAUCCUCUUGUUUAC
rnacentral:misc_RNA from 1 species